rnacentral:misc_RNA from 1 species
GCUUGCAUCGAACUUCUAGACCACAUCCUCUUCAUGGCUCAAGCAUUAUAUCUUUUGCUUGUCAGUUGAUCGUGUUCCUGUAUUCGAUACCCAUGUUGGAGGUACUAUGCUUCUAUUUUGCCCCAGUCCUCUUGGUGCCCUGUAAAGGCAUCGAGUGGAGCAUGUAGUUUGAUCUAACAUACCAAGCUUGUCGAUUUGGUUGCAAUGGUUGUUGGAUCAAAGCUUGUGUUCUCGGAUGCGGACUGUUCAAUGGGUGCAAGGAUUUUAAUCCUUGUAUUAGCCCUAUGUGGGAAAUCGUCCCUCGAUAAGUACGACAUCCCUUGUGCGUUACGAUUAUCCAAUGGUCCUUGGGGCUGGGAUAACUUUGUUCGUGCAUCGGUGUCUGCCAAAGAAUGCUACCUGGUUGAACCUGCCCAUAAUCCUAUGCUUGUCUCAAAAAUUAAACCCUUCAUGGGG